UUUGAUAAUCUACCUUAUGGUCUGGGAUAACUUUGGGAAACUGAGGAUAAACCCGGAUAAAGGAUUGAUACUGGAAUGUACUUUCCUUGAAAAGUAAUGCCAUAAGAUGAGUCAGAGGCUGAUUAGGUUGUUGGUGAGGUAAAGGCUCACCAAGCCUAAGAUCAGUAGGGGAGAUGAGAGUCUUAGCCCCGAGAAGGGCACUGAGAUACUGGCCCUAGUCCUAAGGGAUGCAGCAGUCGCGAAACCUUUACAAUGCACGAAAGUGUGAUAAGGGGAUUCCAAGUGCUUAUACUCUGUAUAGGCUUUUGUCAAGUGUAAGUAGCUUGACGAAUAAGGGGUGGGUAAGACCGGUGCCAGCCGCCGCGGUAAUCCCGGCGCCCCGAUUGGUGACCAUAUUUAUUGGGUCUAAAGCGUUUGUAGCUGGUUUAGUGUGUCCUUUGUGAAAUUGUUGGGCUUAACUCAACAGCGUGCAAAAGAUACUACUAGACUUGGGACCGAGAGAGGAUAAGAGUAUUCCGGGGGGAGCGGUAAAAUGUUUUAAUCCUCGGAGGACUACCUAUGGCGAAGGCACUUAUCCAGAGCGGGUCCGACAGUGAGAAACGAAGGCUAGGAGAACGAUAAGGAUUAGAUACCCUAGUAGCCCUAGCAGUAAACUCUGUGAGUUAUGUGUUACAUGUUCUUUAGGGAUAUGUAGUGCCGUAGUGAAGGCGUUAAACUCACCACCUGGGAAGUACGGUCGCAAGGCUGAAACUUAAAGGAAUUGGCGGGAGCGCACUACGAGGAGUGCGGCGUGCGGUUCAAUUGGAUUCUACACCGGUAAUCUCACCAGGAGCGACGGCAGGAUGAAGGUCAGAUUGAAGGUUUUACCUGACGAGCCGAGAGAUGGUGCAUGGCCGUCGUCAGUUCGUGCUGCGAGGUGUCCUGUUAAGUCAGGCAACGAACAAGACCUAUAUUUACAUUUGCUAGCAUUUCCUCUUGGAAGAAUGAGCACAAUGUAAGGACUGCCCUUGAAAAAGGGAGGAAGGUAUAGGCAACGAUAGGUCAGUAUGCCUCGAUCUCCUGGGCUACACGCGCGCAACAAUGGUAGGGACAAUGGGAUGCAACUCCGAGAGGAGAAGCUAAUCCUCGAAACCCUACCCUAGUUCGGAUUGAGGCUUGUAAUUCAGCCUCAUGACGCUGGAAUUCCUAGUAAUCGGACGUCAUCAGCGUCCGGUGAAUACGUCCCUGUGCUUUGCACACACCGCCCGUCAAGCCAACCGAGCAGGG
rnacentral:rRNA from 1 species